rnacentral:rRNA from 1 species
UACGUAGGGGGCAAGCGUUGUCCGGAAUCAUUGGGCGUAAAGCGCGUGUAGGCGGCUGGGUAAGUCCGCUCUGAAAGCCCGGGGCUCAACCCCGGGAGGCGGGUGGAUACUGCUCAGCUCGAGUCCGGAAGAGGAGUGUGGAAUUCCUGGUGUAGCGGUGAAAUGCGCAGAUAUCAGGAGGAACACCAAUGGCGAAGGCAGCACUCUGGGACGGUACUGACGCUGAGACGCGAAAGCGUGGGGAGCAAACGGG